GAUGUCUUAGCGAGCACACUCCUCUUUAACCCAUAGGUAGCCGAGCUACGAAGACUUUGAUUCUCAGAUUCAUAUGAGAUACGUAUGCAGUGGAUGCGACGUCCGUGCGAGUCAUUUUCUUUUGACCCUUCUUUUAGUAAAUAGUACAUUAGAUAAACAUACACGCUUUUCUCACCCCUUCAAUCAUGUUUGCACAAAUAAAUUUUCAAAAAAACAGCAACAACCUUUGCAACAAAUGUGAAAAGGGCUCCCUAGGAGUACCUAG
rnacentral:lncRNA from 1 species